rnacentral:rRNA from 1 species
AUUGAACGCUGGCGGCAUGCCUUACACAUGCAAGUCGAACGGCAGCACGGAGCUUGCUCUGGUGGCGAGUGGCGAACGGGUGAGUAAUAUAUCGGAACGUACCCUGGAGUGGGGGAUAACGUAGCGAAAGUUACGCUAAUACCGCAUACGAUCUAAGGAUGAAAGUGGGGGAUCGCAAGACCUCAUGCUCGUGGAGCGGCCGAUAUCUGAUUAGCUAGUUGGUAGGGUAAAAGCCUACCAAGGCAUCGAUCAGUAGCUGGUCUGAGAGGACGACCAGCCACACUGGAACUGAGACACGGUCCAGACUCCUACGGGAGGCAGCAGUGGGGAAUUUUGGACAAUGGGCGAAAGCCUGAUCCAGCAAUGCCGCGUGAGUGAAGAAGGCCUUCGGGUUGUAAAGCUCUUUUGUCAGGGAAGAAACGGUGAGAGCUAAUAUCUCUUGCUAAUGACGGUACCUGAAGAAUAAGCACCGGCUAACUACGUGCCAGCAGCCGCGGUAAUACGUAGGGUGCAAGCGUUAAUCGGAAUUACUGGGCGUAAAGCGUGCGCAGGCGGUUUUGUAAGUCUGAUGUGAAAUCCCCGGGCUCAACCUGGGAAUUGCAUUGGAGACUGCAAGGCUAGAAUCUGGCAGAGGGGGGUAGAAUUCCACGUGUAGCAGUGAAAUGCGUAGAUAUGUGGAGGAACACCGAUGGCGAAGGCAGCCCCCUGGGUCAAGAUUGACGCUCAUGCACGAAAGCGUGGGGAGCAAACAGG